CUCUUAUCUGGUCUGUGAAUCUCAGUUCUCCAGUUUACUCACAUGGUGUCUCAGAGUUUCUGACAACAGGCAGUAGUGAUGUCUACCUUCCUGGCUGUUGGAGCAGCCCCACUUCAGCUCUGAGCUCUGCCCUCCUAGUCUACAAAUAGCAUUUCAUAAAGCAGGUCUCUUCUGUGUCUUACUAGUCCCUUGAAUAAACUUCUUUUUUCCUACAAAAAGAUAAAGCUCUAAGUGUGCUUCUCAGACUUCUGGAGUCAUUCAAGGUUCUAGCAUCAUUGGAGUACAGCAAGAAAACUGUUUCAGAGCCUUUUCCAACAGAUCAUGGUCUUAACAGCAUCAGAAAUUCUUCAUAAAAGCACAGUCCAAAACCAACCUUUUAUGGAAGCUUGUGAUCCCAGUUUAAUUUCAGUAGGAAUGGUCGCGGUUGUGUCUGGAGGAAAUGAAGACUCCUGUGAGGGCCACAGUUAAAAGUGAGAAAAUUUAAUGUGAGAAUUUCUGGAAGACAUUGAGUAUGCUCUUCCACACUACCACUCUGACAGAAACCCCAGUAACAGCACAGCCACACUCUGUUGUGGCUUAAACGAUAUGAAGGUCUGAAAGGUAAACACAGAAGGCACAACACACCCUGAUCCCAUCAGUCAGAAGAUGUAUAAAUAAAGUACAGAGUUUAAAGAAAAAUAAAUGAAAAAAGAAAAAGAAAUUGUUUUUUUGUAAAGAAACAACAGGAACAGCCUGACUUUGAUAAUGUUUUGACAUUUGAAGUAUCCAACCAGUGUGAAAUCCUAGUCAGUAUCAACACAAUGGAUCACUAAUCAAUGCAGACUGAAGAAGUCCAGGAAAGCACUCAAGAGCAGCAGGUACAUGCCCUGUUGGAAGCAAUUGGAGAAGCAAAUUGAAGCAAAUGCAGAAGACUCAGCUGUUGGGUAAAUUGAAGACAAUCCUUCUACAGGCCUAAUCCUAAGGUGAAUGCAAAGAAAGAAAGGCUGUGAGGAUCAAACAAAGUUAACUGUAUGAAUGAAGUAAUCUUAUGCUCUUCUUAAACAAAGUGUGCUCUGAAGUGUCUGCGAAUAACUCAUCCAGCUGAAAUGAUAAAGUACACCAGACUGAUGGAAAACAUAACAUAGACAGGUCGUCGAUACAGGAAAGAAAGAAAGAAAAAAAGGCAGGAGAAGAGGAGGAGAAUCACUUUCAUUAUCAUGGCAGCACCUGAAGUUUUGUCCCUUCUCUACUUUUUCUGGAGACUGCACAGAGAGUAAAUAGUUUAUGUGAAAAACAACCCUUAACUGGACCCUGCUGUCAUAUUAUAGAAUCAUUAAGGCUGGAAAAGACGUCUAAGAUUGUGAGGUUCAACCACCAAACCAUCCCCACAAUGCCCACUGACUGUGUCCCUCAGGGUCACGUCUCCACAGGCCUUGAACAUCUCCAGGAAUGGACCUCCUGGCAACAAUAGUACAAUACUCUGAUUUCAGAACAGUGUAUGUUGUACUGAGAGCCAUACCUAAAAUAUCUGUGGAUUCUAGAACAGAACGUUCAGGCCUAUUGUCCUGGGAAAACUAAAAAUGAACAAAAUCAAUUUCAUAGAUGGUUCAGAUGUUAAUGCCUACCUUGUGUCUGAGGCAAAAAAUAAACACAGAUGUACAGAUAUUAUUUAACUCACAUGAAAGAGAAGUCAUUUUCCAACCAUGCUGCAACUGCAUUUAAUGGAAAACUCACAGGUAAUCUCCUCCUCAGUUCUCUCUCUCAAGCAAGAUGAGACAGAGGGAGCACUUCCAAAAUUUCCAUCACAUAAAUUAUCAUAGAAUCCUUAGAGUUGGAAGGGACCCUUAAAGGCCAUCUAGUCCACCUCCCCUGGAAUGAAGAGGGACACCUACAGCUACAUCAGGUUGCCCAGAGUCCUGACCAGCCUGACCUUGAGUGUCUCCAGGUAUGAGGCAUCCAUCUCCUCUCUGGGCAACCUCUGCCAGUGCUUCACGACCAAGAAGAGAAAGAUGAAGAAGAUGAAGAUGACAAAGAAGACAGAGAAGUAAAAGAAAAAAAAAAAAGAAAAAACACUUUGUUGUAGCCCAAGCUGUCUAUAAAAGAAAAAGCAGAACUGUACAUAAAAUAAAAUGUUACAAAAAAAGAGAACAAUCUGCUUUGCAUAAUUUGGCUAAGACUAGACGUAUUAAUAUAGUAAUAUAUAUUACUAUAGGCUAGAUAUAUUAAUACAGUAAUAUUUUCUGAUGGAAACUUUUCCAGAACUAUCAUAAAUCAGUGACAACAUUAAAGUGAGUAUGUCAAGAUAAUUAGGAAAAUGGAGAAUAUUAUUUCCUUAGUUCUAUUAUGCAUUUAUAUUUUAGGAUUGCAUAACUGUCUUUCUAAAUGUAAUCACCCAUGCUCUACAUCAAAUGUACAUACAUAUAAGACAUAAACUAUUAACAGAUCCCCAGUUUGUUCAUGGAGUGACUGGUAUGUUAAAAAAGGGUGAUUGGAUUUACUCUUUAGAAAACAACACUCUACUUAUGGAAAAGAAAAGCAAGCCUUGGUAAGUAUCAUGCACUUUAUCUUUCAUAAUUAGUUUUGCUGUCCAUGCAUGGGCAGUUGCAUUUGGCUGUCCCACAUGCCUGCUUCAAGCUGUAGUUCAGUCUCAGCCUUGAGUUUCAGGGAUUUUGACAUGUCGUUGUUUAUCUCCCUACUUUAUGCAACAAGGAAACAUAUUUACAGCCUUCUGACCCUUUGCAUUGUGUCUCUAAGUACAACAUAUAAAUUUAUGUGCAUACCAGGAAUCCCCUUGCAUCUAGUGAAAUCCACAUGUAAUUUUCUGUGCCCAUAUUCCACCAUAUUUUUACAUGAACACAUGGCUUUUAUAACAGAUCCUGCUCAUAAUUUGAGGCCUGCCUUUUUCUGCAAUCCAGCCAUGGAAUGGAUUUUUAUUAAUAGGGCCCUAAGACUUUACACUUGACUUUGGAAAAAGAGCGGGCACUGGUGCCAAGUUUUGAACUACAUGAUCAUAAUUCGGUCUGUUGUGUCACACACAUUCAAAAAGGUAGUUCUAAAAUUCAUGUCCUCAUACGGGCC
ensembl:lncRNA